GAUGAACGCUGGCGGCGUGCCUAAUACAUGCAUGUCGAGCGAACGGACGAGAAGCUUGCUUCUCUGAUGUUAGCGGCGGACGGGUGAGUAACACGUGGAUAACCUACCUAUAAGACUGGGAUAACUUCGGGAAACCGUAGCUAAUACCGGAUAAUAUUUUGAACCGCAUGGUUCAAAAGUUAAAGACGGUCUUGCUGUCACUUAUAGAUGGAUCCGCGCUGCAUUAGCUAGUUGGUAAGGUAACGGCUUACCAAGGCAACGAUGCAUAGCCGACCUGAGAGGGUGAUCGGCCACACUGGAACUGAGACACGGUCCAGACUCCUACGGGAGGCAGCAGUAGGGAAUCUUCCGCAAUGGGCGAAAGCCUGACGGAGCAACGCCGCGUGAGUGAUGAAGGUCUUCGGAUCGUAAAACUCUGUUAUUAGGGAAGAACAUAUGUGUAAGUAACUGUGCACAUCUUGACGGUACCUAAUCAGAAAGCCACGGCUAACUACGUG
rnacentral:rRNA from 1 species